GUCUUUUUGGAUUAAUAUAAAGUCUGGCCUGCCCAAUGAAAUUUAUUUAAUGGCCGCAGUAUUUUGACUGUGCAAAGGUAGCAUAAUCAUUAGUUUCUUAAUUAGUAACUGGAAUGAAGGGUUAAACGAAAAAAUUACUGUUUCACUUUAAUUAUAAUAGAAUUUUAUUUUUAAGUAAAAAAGCUUAAAUGAAUUUAAAAGACGAGAAGACCCUAUAGAGUUUAAUAUAAAUAAAUUAUAAUAAAUGAGAGUUUUUAAUAAUGAUUUUUGUAUUUGAUUGGGGUGAUUAAAAAAUUUAAAGAACUUAUUUAAAAUAUCUACAAAGAUUUUUGAUUAAAUGAUCCACAUAAAUUUGUGAAUAUUAGAUUAAAUUACCUUAGGGAUAACAGCGUAAUUUUUUUAGAGAGUUCAAAUCGAUAAAAAAGAUUGCGACCUCGAUGUUGGAUUAAAAUAAAUUUUUGGUGAAGAAUUUAAAAGUGUUGGUCUGUUCGACCAUUAAAAUUUUACA
rnacentral:rRNA from 1 species